rnacentral:rRNA from 1 species
GACGAACGCUGGCGGCGUGCUUAACACAUGCAAGUCGAACGGAAAGGCCCUGCUUUUGUGGGGUGCUCGAGUGGCGAACGGGUGAGUAACACGUGAGUAACCUGCCCUUGACUUUGGGAUAACUUCAGGAAACUGGGGCUAAUACCGGAUAGGAGCUCCUGCUGCAUGGUGGGGGUUGGAAAGUUUCGGCGGUUGGGGAUGGACUCGCGGCUUAUCAGCUUGUUGGUGGGGUAGUGGCUUACCAAGGCUUUGACGGGUAGCCGGCCUGAGAGGGUGACCGGCCACAUUGGGACUGAGAUACGGCCCAGACUCCUACGGGAGGCAGCAGUGGGGAAUAUUGCACAAUGGGCGGAAGCCUGAUGCAGCAACGCCGCGUGCGGGAUGACGGCCUUCGGGUGGUAAACCGCUUUCGCCUGUGACGAAGCGUGAGUGACGGUAAUGGGUAAAGAAGCACCGGCUAACUACGUG